rnacentral:rRNA from 1 species
GCUUUCAGUUCGAUCCCGCCCGCACGAUCUAUCUCGCCCGCACGAUCUAUCUCGCUGGCACUUUUUUUACCGUGCUGUCGAAUAUCCAGCCAUUCGCUAACAUUCUGCUCUCGUGCUUUAGUCGAUGACAGGUGGGGCUCCUUUGCCCGCGGACCCAUCUUGCAGUGUGUGUCCCGUAUGUACGUGUCGUCUGUCUUCGGUGAAAAACGAUUGACCGCGACGGUCGUGGGCGACGUGGGUGGGUCGCGUCUGCUGAAACCUCGAGCCCCGCGUCCCUCCUUCCCCGCUCUCCACCCCCACGCUUCCCCGUGCAGCCACCGCCUCCCCAUCCCCGCUCUCUCCGCCCCGCCCAGAGUCCUUCGCGCCGCCCUUGAGGAGCGGAUCGACGACGGCCACCGCCUCCCCAUCCCCGCUCUCUCCGCCCCGCCCAGAGUCCUUCGCGCCGCCCUUGAGGAGCGGAUCGACGACGGCGAGGAUGAGAGAUCGAGGAGGGAGGGGUGACGCCGGCCAGCCGCAGGCCUCACCACCGGCUCGUGUGGAAGCGCUGGACAGCGGCAAGAAGGAACCAUCUCUCUGCUUCUUUCUCUCUUCCCCGCAAGCGGCACUUCUGGAUCGGGCCCGGGAUUCAUGGUCGGUGUGGAGGAGCAGGGGAGGGUGUGGAGGGGAGAUGCGAGGAAGGAGUGGUCAGGUGAUGGUGGAAUUUAACAGGCCAUCACUGCCUGUCGCUGCUUUCCCGUCGCCGUGCCCCAUCCCCAAUCUUAGCUGCACAUCUAUCUUUCUCCUCUAUUUUCUUGCCGCUUGAUUCGGCUGGUUCUUUGAUAAUCUGAUUUUGAUUUCUCAAUUUAUGUUUUUUCUAUAAGAUGUGUGCAGAUCGAAUGAAGAAGACAAGAGGAAGACUGAAGAACAAGCAAAUUUGGGCAGAGUAGGGGAAAGCGAGGGUCAGAAGAGCAAGGUCUUGUCAGAAUUUUAGAGAUAGAAAAUGGAAUACUUGGAGGUGUACUGCAGGAAGGUGGACGAUGCCAAUCAGACCAGGGUCAAGCAGCAGCAGUCUGUGGCCACUAAAGAAGCUGAGGUUGAUAUGUUAGUGGCUACUCUAGGGGAGCACAAGUUGUAUCUCAAGGUAUGCAUGCUAAUCAUCGUCAUGAUGAUUCACUAAUUGGGUUGGUUGUAUGUUCACUUCCUGAGUGGUUGUUUGGCUCCCUCGAGAUGAUGGAAUCUGGCUGUUGUUGGUAACAUGCACGAUUCAAAUUGUGGAUUGCUACUAAAUAGGGCUUGGCGAUGCCUGAUUGUUUUUUUUUGUGUCAAAAAGGUAGCUACUGGCUUGUACUAAACCUCUAGGCAAUACAACCUUACUUUAAUCUUUUUACUAGGAUGCUUUUGUCAAUUUCUCGGCACUUGCGCAUAAAGACAAGAGCUACGUGUCGCUCAAGGAACAAGUUGCCGCUGUUGUUCCUGUGCUUGACGAUCUGAAAUGCAAGACAGAAGAAAGGAUCAAGUAUUACGAUAUUCAAUCACAGAUUGAGAAGAUAUGCUCUAUAAGUUAAUUAACUACAUGUCUGCAUUAAUAUAUUUUCCUGAUGGGUUUCCCUACUAUGGCUCAUGGUCAUAGAUGUAGUUUGCCUUUGCUGCUGUUGUUUCUCUCAAUAUUUCUAUCCCACUAUAUUGUAUGUGUUCUGAAUGUACCUGUAUAUGAAAGAUGAUUAUCUCCAUUAUUAUUGUUCGUACUACCAUUUUUAUCCAAGAUUAAAACACCUAACGCGUGCCUUUUUUUAAGUAUCUUUAAUGCAGCCUAUUGGUUCUUAACUUACUACCAACUACUAGCGGAGAUAGCUUUCUGAAAUAAGCAUGCUAAGCAUGAACGUUGUUCUACUUAUGGGAAGAACCCUCAGAGAUCCAGGCAGCAUCUAGAUUGCUGUUAUCAUCCUCCAUCAACAAAACCAUGGGGUCCUUGUGGGAGCUGCAUACAAACCUUGUGGAUGUAUUUGGUUGGUAGCUGCAGCAGCCUACCAAUCGGAUAAGAGAAGCCAAGGGGCCAUCGGCGAUGGUGUAGCUUCAGCAUCCUGUCAAUCGAAGGAGAGGCCAAGGAGUCAUCGGCAAGAAGCAACCUUAUCCUGGACCUUGAAGUGGAGUAAUGGUUAACAAUGUUUUAUGGAUCAUAUGUUUUCUUUUGUUCACACUUGAGAGCUACAAGCAUUAAGAUGUUAUGAUAAAUUAUGUACCAAAGUUUGCUUUGUCCGUGGUCAUAUCUAUAUGUGUUAAUUUAUUUUCCUAUAGUCGUAUCGAUAUUAUUAUCCCUAUGAGUUGUCCCCUUUGUUCUAUAGUAAUGUAAUCAGAGCGAGAAAUGUAAAUGUGAUUGAAUUAUGGUGUGGCUCUUACAAAAAUAUGUGAAUGGGAUCAGAAUUGUGUAUAUAUUAUUGAUUUAAUAGUUUGAAACUAAG